GACGUAGGGGGCGAGCGUUGUCCGGAGUUACUGGGCGUAAAGGGCGCGCAGGCGGUCGCGUGGGCCAUCGCGUGAAAGCCCCCGGCUCAACCGGGCGGUGGCGGGUGGGACCGCGCGGCUGGAGGGUGGUAGGGGCCAGUGGAAUUCCCGGUGUAGUGGUGAAAUGCGUAGAUACCGGGAGGAACACCCGCAGCGAAGGCGGCUGGCUGGGCCAUUCCUGACGCUGAGGCGCGAAGGCUCGGGAGCGAACGGGG
rnacentral:rRNA from 1 species